rnacentral:rRNA from 1 species
UAGCAGCGAACGGGUGAGUAACACGUAGAUAAUUUGUCCUAUAUUGGGGGAUAGGCCGAUGAAAAUUGGAUUAAUACCGCAUACAGCUAUUUAACCGCAUGGGGAGAUAGUGAAAGGGGAGACUUGAUAUAGGAGGAGUCUGCGGCACAUUAGCUAGUAGGUGAGGUAAGAGCUCACCUAGGCGACGAUGUGUAGCCGGUCUGAGAGGAUGAACGGCCACAAUGGAACUGAGACACGGUCCAUACUCCUACGGGAGGCAGCAGUGGGGAAUAUUGCACAAUGGGGGAAACCCUGAUGCAGCAACGCCGCGUGAGUGAAGAAGGUUUUCGGAUUGUAAAGCUCUGUUAGCAGGGAAGAGGAAGGACGGUACCUGCAGAGGAAGCCACGGCUAACUACGUGCCAGCAGCCGCGGUAAUACGUAGGUGGCAAGCGUUGUUCGGAAUAACUGGGCGUAAAGGAUGCGUAGGCGGUUGAGUAAGUUAUGUGUUAAAUAUAUAGGCUUAACCUGUAGAAAGCACAUAAAACUGUUUAACUAGAGUGCAGGAGAGGUAAGUGGAAUUCCUAGUGUAGCGGUGAAAUGCGUAGAGAUUAGGAAGAACACCAGUGGCGAAGGCGACUUACUGGACUGUAACUGACGCUGAGGCAUGAGAGCAUGGGGAGCAAACAGGAUUAGAUACCCUGGUAGUCCAUGCUGUAAACGAUGGGUACUAGGUGUGGGUUGUGAAUAACAAUCCGUGCCGUCGCAAACGCAAUAA